rnacentral:rRNA from 1 species
GACGAACGCUGGCGGCGUGCUUAACACAUGCAAGUCGAACGGAGUGGCGAACGGGUGAGUAACACGUGGGUGACCUGCCCUGCACUCCGGGAUAAGCCUGGGUAACUGGGUCUAAUACCGGCUAGUGUGGGAUGGGCCCGCGGCCUAUCAGCUUGUUGGGGGGGUAAUGGCCUACCAAGGCGGCGACGGGUAGCCGGCCUGAGAGGGUGGCCGGCCACAUAGGGACUGAGGCAGGGGCCAUAGGCCUACGGGAGGCAGCGGUGGGGGAUAUUGCACAAUGGGCGGAGGGCUGGAGGAGCGACGCCGGGUGGGGAAGGUCGGCCUUCGGGUUGGAAACUCCUUCCAGCGUCGAGGCGGUAGAUGAAGAAAAAGCACCGGCUAACUACGUGCCAGCCGCCGCGGUAAUUC